AGAGAAAAGAUCUGAGAGAAAAGCCUGGGACUCUGCCACCCAGCUCCCUGGCCCCUGGGAGAAGCCAUGGCAGAUAUUUGGGAUGAGGCAGCAUGCUGGUCCCUCAGCAGCAUCCUUAUCACGUCAGCUGUGAGAGAAAUAAAACUGUGAGACUGUGAAGUGUAUAAAGGAUUCUACCGCUCUCCCGGGGCUUGGAGACCCACAGAUUGGAGAAACCCUCUUGCCAUGUGCUACCUUUUGCCAUGUUAUGAAGGGGCAAGAAGGCCCUAACCAGAUGCAGCCCCUCGAACUGGG
rnacentral:lncRNA from 1 species